CGUAGGGUGCAAGCGUUAAUCGGAAUUACUGGGCGUAAAGCGUGCGCAGGCGGUUAUGCAAGACAGAUGUGAAAUCCCCGGGCUCAACCUGGGAACUGCAUUUGUGACUGCAUAGCUGGAGUGCGGCAGAGGGGGAUGGAAUUCCGCGUGUAGCAGUGAAAUGCGUAGAUAUGCGGAGGAACACCGAUGGCGAAGGCAAUCCCCUGGGCCUGCACUGACGCUCAUGCACGAAAGCGUGGGGAGCAAACAGGAUUAGAUACCCUGGUAGUCCACGCCCUAAACGAUGUCAACUGGUUGUUGGGUCUUUACUGACUCAGUAACGAAGCUAACGCGUGAAGUUGACCGCCUGGGGAGUACGGCCGCAAGGUUG
rnacentral:rRNA from 1 species